UUGACUAGGAAUCCAUAGCGGGUGCGAGACCCGUACGUAUUGCCGACUUUCUGUACGCGUUUAUCUCUUGGAGUAGGGUUGUUUGAGAUCGCAGCCCUAAGUAGGUGGUAUACUUCAUCUAAAGCUAAAUACGACUACGAAUCCGAUAGCAAACAAGUACCGUGAGGGAAAGUUGCAAAGUACUUUGAAGAGAGAGUUCAAGAGGACGUGAAACCGAUAGGAUGGAAGCAGAUGAAGUUGACGAACGUGUGUCGUAUUCAAAAUCGCUUUCAGCGGUUUGUUUUUACGGCCGAUGUGGGCUGGCGGCUUUGGUCAAUGCAACGCGUCUAUCGGCGAAGGUGACCCUGCGGAGGGAUAAUCAAUCGUCGUGCGGUGCUUGGUAUGGCUAAGGUUUCGCCGGUCUUAAAGUCAGCGCCUCAUCUGACCCGUCUUGAAACACGGACCAAGGAGUGUAGCGUUUGCGCAAGUCUUAGAGUGUAUCGAAACUUUGAGGCGAAACGAAAGUAAAUGCAGUUUAAUCUGCUGACUUGGGAUGCGUUGUCUCUUGUGGACGGCGCUGGACCAAGGUUUUAUCGCGAUCGCUUGCGGUGCGGUGAAAAAAGAGCGUAAACGGUGCGACCCGAAAGAUGGUGAACUAUGCCUGAGCAGGAUGAAGCCGGAGGAAACUCUGGUGGAAGUCCGAAGCGGUUCUGACGUGCAAAUCGAUCGUC
rnacentral:rRNA from 1 species